GAAAACCCUAAAUUAGGGUAUUUUAAUUGGAACUAAAUACAAAUUCAGUUCUGUUUUAAUAAAAAAUAUUAAAAAAAGGAAACGUGGAUUUAUCUUUUCGGGAUGUUGAUGAGAAGCUUUGCAGUAUGUUCUAAAAGGUUCUUUUGUUGAUAUUGAACAUGAGUGAGAAUUUGUGAGAAGGAGAGAGUGAUUGAGUUAGAUAGUGUUAAAAAAUGUGAUAUUGAAAUAGGGUGAAAGAGGGAGGAGAAGUGGGGUUAAAUAGGCAUUCAAAUGGAUCCAACGGUUAAAUAGGCAUUGCGGUUGAAAUCCGACCAUUACCAACUGCUAAAGGUUGGUAACGAUCAAAUUUUGAUCGUUUUGCCUAGUAUGAAGGAUGUAUCGCUCGAUACACCCCCCCAACUGCUAUACUGCUCAGUACAGGGCGAUAUGUCAAACCAUGCUAUAUAGCAUGUCUGUACUGUCCACGUCAGACACUGACACAGUUGGACACUUUUAGCACAUGUUGGGUUUAAAACAUAUUAAACUCUUGUCCAUCAGGUCACUGAUAUUAGUUAUUGUAUGUAUGGUAGACAUCAUCUAUAGGUUUGCCACAUGUUGGGUAGUUAAAACAUACUACUCUUGUCCAUCAACAGUCAUUGAUAUUAGUUAUUGCGUGUCCGGUGGACAUCAUCUAUAGGCUUGCAACUUGGACUUAUGACUUCAUGAUGGUGUAUUUUGUGCCAACCAACCAUGCUGGUCUUUCACCGAUCCAGUAUAUAUAGGUCUAUACAAGCAUACCGACACAUGGUACGCUGGAACAUGCUGAUAGUUCAAAAAAAUAUCUAAAAAAUCUCUAAAAAUACCUAAAAAUGAGGAAAACCCUAAAUUAGGGUAUUUUAAUUGGAAUUAAAUGCAAAUUCAGUUAUGUUUUAAUUCAAAAAAUAUUUAAAAAAGAAGGAAAAGUGGAUUUAUCUUUUCGAGAUGUUGAUGAGUAGCUUUGCAGUAUGUUCUAAAAGGUUCUUUUGUUGAUAUUGAACAUGAGUGAGAAUUUGUGAGAAUGAGAGAGUGGUUGAGUUAGAUAGUGUUAAAAAAUGUGAUAUUGAAAUAGGGUGAAAGAGGGAGGAGAAGUGGGGUUAAAUAGACAUUCAAAUGGAUCCAACAGUCAAAUUGACGAUUGGAACCAAUUCAUUCUGGGCCCUUGAUUGAUUCUGGUUGAAAUCCGACCAUUACCAACCGGUAUAGGUUGGUAACGAUCAAAUUUUGAUCGUUUUGCCUAGUAUGAAGGAUGUAUCGCUCGAUACACCCCCCUAACUGCUAUACUGCUCGAUACAGGGCGAUAUGUCAAACCAUGCUAUAUAGUAUAUCUGUACUGUCCACGUCAGACACUGACACAGUUGGACACUUUCAGCACAUGUUGGGUAUUUAAAAUAUAUUAGACUCUUGUCCAUCAG
rnacentral:lncRNA from 1 species